AAGCACAUCUACAAUCAAGGAGAGGGGCAGGCUUUACCUUUUGAAGGAAGAAGUAUGAAAGUGUAUCACUGACUGAUCAAGUAGAGCUAAAAAACAUUCCCUUCAAUUUAAAAAAUGUUCCCGACUCUUAACACCCCAGUUGAGAACUACUGAUCUUAGAUGUAUUAAAGUAAAAUGAAUGAAAGUAAACCUGGUGACUCACAGAACCUUGCUUGUGUUUUCUGUCGAAAACAUGAUGACUGUCCUAAUAAAUACGGAGAAAAGAAAACUAAGGAGAAAUGGAAUCUCACUGUACAUUACUACUGUUUGUUGAUGUCAAGUGGAAUUUGGCAGAGAGGCAAAGAAGAAGAAGGAGUUUAUGGUUUUCUAAUAGAAGAUAUCAGGAAGGAAGUGAAUAGAGCUUCUAAACUG
rnacentral:lncRNA from 1 species